rnacentral:lncRNA from 1 species
AGCAACAACCGAUACAAGGAGCCGGACAGCAGCAAGUACCUAGUUAAGACUUCAAAUAAAUAAAGAUUACGGGAAGGGGUUUAGGGGGGAAUAGGAAUUGUUGAUUGAAAUCUCAAACACGGUGGAGGACAAAGCGAACAGCUGCCCUUCUAGAUGGAACGCUCUUCCUUCCCCUACUCCAUGGAGUUGGGUUAAGCUCUAAACCCCCACCACUCUUGCAAUGGGAUUAGGAUGGGCCAGGCCAGGGCCAAGCGCAGGGCUGCCUGGCCUCCCGGACUCCUGUUCCACAGUUCCGGAAUGAGCGCUGGCCGGGGCCUCCUGGAGCUGGGAGGAAGGCGUAGCUGGCGAUCUCUCUCUCUCUCUCUCUCUCUCUCUCUCUCUCUCUCUCUCUCUCUCCUCUUCCCUCCCCCCUUGGUGUUUCUUCCAGUUCAGCCUCCUUCUCAUUCCAUCUCUACGUGCCCAGAGCUUCAAAUACAGUCCUCCCAUCACAGUCAGAUUCCCACAAAACUUCAAUCAGCUGCUUCUCCUGGAAGAGAUCCUGGAUGGGUAAUUACAAACAUAGUUUCUAUGUGUUGUUCUUCCUCCCCUAUUCAUGGGUUCCACACUUUCUGGGGAGGGGAGGUUGUUUUAUUUUACUGUCUGGAUAGACGCAUCUCCUGCCUUAUUUCCUCUUGAUCUUUCUUUCUGGCUAACAGGGGUUGUGUAUAGCUUUCUCUGUGACUCUCUGUAGUUUUUCUGUGAAAUUCUACAUCUUGCUUCUACAAGUA